rnacentral:rRNA from 1 species
AUGGGGGGAACCCUGAUCCAGCCAUGCCGCGUGUGUGAAGAAGGCCUUUUGGUUGUAAAGCACUUUAAGCGAGGAGGAGGCUACUCUAGUUAAUACCUAGGAGAUAGUGGACGUUACUCGCAGAAUAAGCACCGGCUAACUCUGUGCCAGCAGCCGCGGUAAUACAGAGGGUGCAAGCGUUAAUCGGAUUUACUGGGCGUAAAGCGCGCGUAGGUGGCCAAUUAAGUCAAAUGUGAAAUCCCCGAGCUUAACUUGGGAAUUGCAUUCGAUACUGGUUGGCUAGAGUAUGGGAGAGGAUGGUAGAAUUCCAGGUGUAGCGGUGAAAUGCGUAGAGAUCUGGAGGAAUACCGAUGGCGAAGGCAGCCAUCUGGCCUAAUACUGACACUGAGGUGCGAAAGCAUGGGGAGCAAACAGGAUUAGAUACCCUGGUAGUCCAUGCCGUAAACGAUGUCUACUAGCCGUUGGGGCCUUUGAGGCUUUAGUGGCGCAGCUAACGCGAUAAGUAGACCGCCUGGGGAGUACGGUCGCAAGACUAGAACUCAAAUGA